AGUUCAGACCCACGGUCGAAGUUGCAUCCCUAAAGGCAGACUCUCCCACUGGGCUGCCCCCAAUAGCCCGCAGCCAUGAGUUCCGACGCCGAGAUGGCCGUUUUCGGGGAGGCUGCUCCUUACCUCCGGAAGUCUGAAAAGGAGCGAAUCGAGGCUCAGAACAAGCCUUUUGAUGCCAAGUCAUCCGUGUUUGUGGUGGAUGCUAAGGAGUCUUUUGUAAAAGCAACGGUGCAGAGCAGGGAAGGGGGGAAGGUGACAGCCAAGACCGAAGGUGGCGCUACUGUAACAGUAAAAGAUGAUCAAGUCUUCCCCAUGAACCCUCCCAAGUAC
rnacentral:lncRNA from 1 species